AAGAAACUGCCUUGCUCCUUCCACCAUGGGAGGACACAGCGUUUGUCUCUUCUGCCAUGUGAAGGCUGAGCAACAAGGUGCUAUCUUGAAAGCACAAACUGGGUCCUCAGGAUAUAGUAAAUAUUUUGAGGUCUUCCAGCCCCUAAAACUGCUGGAGUACAGUGGCAUGAUCUUGGCUCACUUCAACCUCCUCCUCCCAGGUUCAGUGACUCUUCUGCCUCAGCCUCCCAAGUAGCUGGGACUACAGGGCAAUGAGGGCUUCCAUUCUGGCUCUUCACCAUGAUAACCUUGGGGGCUUCCUGGAUUUAAAACCCAGGAAAGCAGGGGUUGAGAAGGGAGAGCCUUUGACCAUGGUCUCUAGCAGUUUUUCACUCUCCUAAAUGUCCACGUUCAGCCUCCAGCAAGUUGUCGAAAUCACCAGACAAGGUUUUGCUGUAUUGCCUACUACACUGGAGUGCAGUAGUGCCAUCAUAGCUUACUGCAACCUCGAACUUCCGGGCUCAAGAGACCCCCCUGCCUCAGCCUCCCAAGUAGCUGGGACUACAGGGACACACCACCAUCCCUGGCUAAUUUUCUUUUUGUGUAGAGUCGGGGUCUCUCUAUGCCGUCCAUGAUGGACUCAAACCCCUGAGCUCACAUGAUCCUCCUCCCUCGCUCAGCCUCCCCAAGUGCUGAGAUUUACAGGUGUGAGCCACUGCGCCUGGCUCCCCUUUAUCUUUCACAGGCAUUUCCCAAUAAAUUUAUUUCCUUUCUAAUUCCUGUUGAUAAAUGCUUCAUGGAGCACCCAAACUGGCAUAG
rnacentral:lncRNA from 1 species